rnacentral:rRNA from 1 species
UACGUAGGGUGCAAGCGUUGUCCGGAAUUAUUGGGCGUAAAGAGCUCGUAGGCGGUCUGUCGCGUCUGCUGUGAAAACUCAGGGCUUAACCCCGGGCCUGCAGUGGGUACGGGCAGACUAGAGUGCGGUAGGGGAGACUGGAAUUCCUGGUGUAGCGGUGAAAUGCGCAGAUAUCAGGAGGAACACCGGUGGCGAAGGCGGGUCUCUGGGCCGUAACUGACGCUGAGGAGCGAAAGCAUGGGAGCGAACAGG